rnacentral:rRNA from 1 species
GCUUGCUAUAACUGUCAGCUAAGUGGCGCACGGGUGAGUAACGCGUGGGAACCUGCCUUUCUCUGCGGGAUAACGGUUGGAAACGACCGCUAAUACCGCAUACGCCCUACGGGGGAAAGGUCUGCCGGAGAAAGAGGGGCCCGCGUCUGAUUAGCUUGUUGGUAAGGUAAUGGCUUACCAAGGCUACGAUCAGUAGCUGGUCUGAGAGGAUGAUC